AAGAGAGGAGCUGAACAAUGGAGAAUAUGAGGAAAAUAAUCAACCUGUUCCAGUAGAGCCCAAAAACAACAUCACGAGCCAAUCACAGACUCCAGACUGGGUCGAUACGUAAUAUCAGACACACAUUGAUCUGCAGGUGUGACACUAAAUCCUGCUCAUUAUUUGAGGGUCAGAGGAGAGCGGUGCAAUUAAAGAUCAACGCUUUAUUACAAACCCUCACACACCCCGUCAGACGUCAGUAUGGAUCUGUUCUCUGGGGUUUAGUGCUCAAAAACACUGUAUGACUCGAGCCGCAAGAACCCGCUGAGACCAAACCAACACACCUGUGACUGACGGAUCGACACACCUGUGUGUGUUUGUGUCUGAGUAACACAUCAGCAACGUCACAUGACUUAACCGCCGGCUAGACCAGACCAACAUCAUCACUGAAACUCUGAAACAGUUUAAUACACACGCAGUCAUCAGGAAAUGAACAUGAAACGUUGCAUGUUUUUAACAGGUUUGGUCAUGAUGACACUGAUAUUUAAAGAGAAAACAGAAAAUGGCAAACAUUUAUUAUUAUCUUAAUUUAUUACCUAAAAAGAAAUAAAAACUAAAUUGCAAGCCACACAAAUUUAUUGCUCAUGAAAAAACGUCUUCAUUUUUAACACUAUCCCAGCUGACAAAAAUAUGUUCUAAGAAACACAAACAUUAAGGGAACAUUCUGCAAACAUUAUGAGAACGUUACAUUUGAAUGUUCUCUGAAACUAGUAACAUUUAAAAAAUGUUAGACGAACAUCAAACUAAAAUGUUUCAUAAAAAAAAAUAUAUAAAUAAUGUUUUUGUGCUCAACAUUAUUAAAGACCAGAGAGCUUUGAACGUAUGUUACUGAAGAACGUUUGUUCAUAACGUUGAGAGAACGUUCCGUUAGCUGGGACGGUUUACAAUGUGACAAAAACACAUGAGAAAGAAGGAAAAGUAACACAAAACCACAUUGUUUCACAGUUACCAGAUGGUUUUAUAAUUUAAUACAGUCGUAUGAAUGUGCUACACGGCUUCUGAAGCGACAGACUGACCAGCUCAACUCUCUGAGUCCCGCUUCAUGCCUUCAUGAUCAUCACAGAAGCGCUUCUGAUGCAUAAACUGGACAACAAAGACCCAACAGAAGGAGACAAACGUAAGGACGGGUUCAUUAUCAAUGAUGCAUGAAAAGCAGGUGACAUCAGUCGCUCAUCAGAGUUCAGUUCACGCUUGUUCAAAAUUGACUGACGCCUUCCAGAUUCCACAGUCUGCCAGUAACAGGAAACAGACAUUCAUAGAAGAGUUUUGGGGAAUCCACAUCGAUCCAGAUUAUUUGCAUUUGUUGUUCCUUAAAGAUAAAAUAAGGCCGCAGUCACUGAGUACAUGUGUGCCGUUCUUUAUCCGGUGUCCAGAAGAAGAAAGAAAUGAGUAAGAGGUUUGUUUUAGCUUUCAUAAUGACAGUAAUGUUUCCUUCUCUUCAUUUCAGAAGUACAGUAAGUGAGAAACGGAUACGUUUGCUUCUGGAAACAGUCCAUCUUAUUUGUUAAAAAUGCUCAGAUUCAUCAUACAAACCACAGAAACUGAGUCCGGGCUACAAGAACAUGAAAAUACAUGCCGCAUUAUGACUCUUAAAUUAAUGUGUCAUAGAAAUUAAUGGGUGAAUCUCACAAAACAUGUACUGGACAUAUUUCACACUGAGAAACUGUAUUUUGAAUGAAGACUACAAUUUUAAACAAAUCUUGACUGAGAAUAAUGAGAAUGCUACAGUCAAACCAAAAUUUAUUCAGACACCCUGAA